UACGGAGGUGGCAAGCGUUGCUCGGAAUCACUGGGCGUAAAGGGCGCGUAGGCGGGGAGGUAAGUUGGGUGUGAAAUCCCUCGGCUUAACCGAGGAACUGCGCCCAAAACUACCGUGCUUGAGGGAGAUAGAGGUGAGCGGAACUUAGGGUGGAGCGGUGAGAUGCGUUGAUAUCCUAAGGAACACCGGUGGCGAAAGCGGCUCACUGGAUCUCUUCUGACGCUGAGGCACGAAAGCUAGGGUAGCGAACGGG
rnacentral:rRNA from 1 species